AGUGCUGCAUGGCUGUCGUCAGCUCGUGUCGUGAGAUGUUCGGUUAAGUCCGCUAACGAGCGCAACCCUCACUGUGUGUUAUAUGUGUCACACGGGACUGCCGGUUUUAAGCCGGAGGAAGGUGGGGAUGACGUCAAGUCAGCAUGGCCUUUAUAUCCUGGGCUACACACACGCUACAAUGGUCGGUACAAUAGGUUGCCAAGCCGCGAGGCGGAGCCAAUCCACAAAGCCGGCCUCAGUUCAGAUUGUAGGCUGCAACUCGCCUGCAUGAAGAUGGAGUUGCUAGUAACCGCAGGUCAGCUAUACUGCGGUGAAUACGUUCCCGGGGCUU
rnacentral:rRNA from 1 species